rnacentral:antisense_RNA from 1 species
UGUGGGAGCUGGCUUGCCAGCGAUAGCGUCAGGUCGUUCGACAUCCGUGUUGAAUGUCGGAUUGCAAUCGCUGGCAAGCCAGCUCCCACA